AGAGCUUGCUCUCUUGGCGGCGAGUGGCGGAGGGUGAGUAAUAUAUCGGAACGUGCCCAGUAGCGGGGGAUAACUACUCGAAAGAGUGGCUAAUACCGCAUACGCCCUACGGGGGAAAGGGGGGGAUCGCAAGACCUCUCACUAUUGGAGCGGCCGAUAUCGGAUUAGCUAGUUGGUGGGGUAAAGGCUCACCAAGGCAACGAUCCGUAGCUGGUUUGAGAGGACGACCAGCCACACUGGGACUGAGACACGGCCCAGACUCCUACGGGAGGCAGCAGUGGGGAAUUUUGGACAAUGGGGGAAACCCUGAUCCAGCCAUCCCGCGUGUAUGAUGAAGGCCUUCGGGUUGUAAAGUACUUUUGGCAGAGAAGAAAAGGUAUCCCCUAAUACGGGAUACUGCUGACGGUAUCUGCAGAAUAAGCACCGGCUAACUACGUGCCAGCAGCCGCGGUAAUACGUAGGGUGCAAGCGUUAAUCGGAAUUACUGGGCGUAAAGCGUGUGUAGGCGGUUCGGAAAGAAAGAUGUGAAAUCCCAGGGCUCAACCUUGGAACUGCAUUUUUUAACUGCCGAGCUAGAGUAUGUC
rnacentral:rRNA from 1 species